GUGGUUUUAUGACAGAGGGUCUUAACUGUAUGAAAAGGAUUAUCAAACUUUGUUCUUGUUACAGAAGGGCUGGGCUUACAGAUAAGACUGCAUACCUGUUUAGCUGGAGAAAAACAUUAAAAUGCUAUUCAAUUUGAUAAGGACUGUGGUCAGAAGGGAUAAAAAAACAGAAAUGUUAUCUAGGAAAUCAGUAAGUUUUAAGAAAAUUGUUCUUAUUCAGUAAUUUGUAAGGACACAAUAAGUGCCAAUUGUAAAAUGUUGAAGUAUAUUAAUAUAAUAGAAGAUCUUACAUGCAUAUUUGGCUAGACAUUUUGAUCUGAGAAAAACAGUGUCAUAGAUAACUAAGAACUAGCAAUUUGUGGGCAUUUUGUUAAUUUUUUUUCUUGUAUAUUUCAUAUUUGGCCCUUCUCUUUCAAAGAAAGUGUACUGAUAAUAUUGAAGCUACAUUUACAUUUUAAAAGAGGGGGUCAUCUUGAUGAGAACUUCACUACGGUUUAAUUGCAGGAGAAAGAACUCAGGAAGAAUGCAGGAAGAAAUGAGUAAUAUUUCAGCAUCCCUUUUAAGGUCUCCUGGAUGCAUCCCACUGAACCAAGAGCUGCAGCGUGAUGCCCAGACUGUUGCUCUGAAGGACUCAUCCUCCAUCUCAGCUGAGAACAACAAAGACACUCCUGCACACAAGUAGUGACUUCAUGUCCACUCUAACAAUAACUCACUUUUGCUAUGGAAGCGGCAUAUGGACUUUCAACAAAAACACAUUAUGAAACAACUUACAAUCCACAGAGAGAGAGAGGACCAGAGAAGAUGUGCCUGGGAUCACCACACACAGCUGCAAGAGCACCAGCUGCAUGACCCGCAUCUGAUCAUCAGUCCUGCUGCCACUCACCAGCCAAGCAGCUUCCAUGAUUGCCUAAAUGGUGCAGUACCAUCAGCACCAAAUGCCACAGUCUUCAGCCUCGCCUGUACUCUGAUUCACUACAUCAAAAAAAAAAAAAAUAAAAUAAAAACAUUGCCUUUGUGAAUGACUUCAUUACAAGAAUAUCUUUCAAGAAGAGCAACAUAAGAACACAACAACGGUAUCGGGUCAAACAAAAGAUCCAGUUAGACUGAAGCCUCUCAAAAAAGGAUAAGAAGAGGGCAAGCAUAUGUGGUGCUUUCCCCAGACUUUCUUUUAGCCUUCAAUCAUUUGUGUUGAGUCCAUAGACUCCUGGAGAAAGGUGUGGCUUCUGUGUAUUUAGUAAUGUUCAACAGGAAUUUCUGUCAUUAAUCUGUCCGGCUUUGCCAUGUAACAUAUUUUGUAGGACACAUUUAACACCAGCUAAAUUAUGCAUUUUAAACACUUGGAUUGGAAACUCUCUGGGCACAGCCCAUCCAUUUGUUCCUGAUUGUUCAUUGUUUAGCACAUUGAUCCAUGACUAAGGUUACUAGGUACUACAGCAAUACAGCACAGCUUGCUAACAAAUGAAACUAACCUCAACAGACAACAUGGAAAUGAAACAGAUGAGAGAACUCCAGAAAGUUCAAUAACUAUGAAAACAACCCAGUAAUAGCUCAGUAGAGUAUUUCAAGUUUCUUACAGUUCAGAGAAAUUAGGGUGGCAUCAGAAAGCAACAGCUUUUUUUACAGCAACAACAAAAACAACAAUGAAAAACUACCUUAAUAGAAGUCACAGCACUUUUUUUGGGAAUAAGAAGAAAGAGUAAAUGAGCUUUAUGCCAUGAUUCCAUUUUUUAAGUUAAUAGCCUAAAAAAUUAAUUUCAAUCAUUCUACAGAGUUUUUCCCCAUUUUUUUUUUAAAGAAGGUGAAAUGAAUACUUCAGAAUGUUAAAUCUUUUGAUCACUGCAGAGGUGGAAUAAGCCUCAUUUUGUUUCUCUUGAACUACUUUUCACUUACAUGAAGGCUAUUCUGUAAUUGUUAAAAAAAAAAAAAAAAUCAGACUGUAUUUGAAAGAUCUACUUUAUUAGCAAUAUCUAGCUCUGUUAAAGUCCGUAUAAUCACAACCCAUUACUGUAACUGUUUUGAUGCUCUCCUGUAUCAUUUCAAAGUCCAUGUAGCCUUUCUUCAAAGUAAUACUCACUUCUGAGUUAAUUUUGAACUAAUAAUAAAAGUAUUUCUUCGAACA
rnacentral:lncRNA from 1 species